CAAACGGAGAGUUUGAUCCUGGCUCAGGAUGAACGCUGGCGGCGUGCUUAAUACAUGCAAGUCGAACGAGUGAAGUUGAUAAGCUUGCUUAUCGAUGAAUCGAGUGGCGAACGGGUGAGUAAUACGUAGGCAACCUACCUUAGUGCGAGGGAUAGCCAAGGGAAACUUUGAUUAAUACCUCAUAGGUAAUUACAAGGCAUCUUGAAAUUAUUAAAGUUGCGUUUGCAACACGCUAAGAUGGGCUUACGGUGUAUUAGUUAGUUGGUGAGGUAACGGCCCACCAAGACGAUGAUACAUAGCCGGCCUGAGAGGGUGAACGGCCACAUUGGGACUGAGACACGGCCCAGAC
rnacentral:rRNA from 1 species